UACGUAGGGUGCGAGCGUUGUCCGGAAUUAUUGGGCGUAAAGGGCUCGUAGGCGGUCUGUUGCGUCGGGUGUGAAAACUCAGGGCUUAACCCUGAGCCUGCUUCCGAUACGGGCAGACUAGAGGUAUGCAGGGGAGAACGGAAUUCCUGGUGUAGCGGUGAAAUGCGCAGAUAUCAGGAGGAACACCGGUGGCGAAGGCGGUUCUCUGGGCAUUACCUGACGCUGAGGAGCGAAAGUGUGGGGAGCGAACAGG
rnacentral:rRNA from 1 species